rnacentral:tRNA from 1 species
GAGGGUAUAGCUCAUGGUAGAGCGCAUGCUUAGCAUGCACAAGGUCCUGGGUUCAAUCCCCAGCACCUCUG